rnacentral:rRNA from 1 species
UGGGGAAUAUUGGACAAUGGGCGAAAGCCUGAUCCAGCCAUGCCGCGUGUGUGAAGAAGGUCUUCGGAUUGUAAAGCACUUUAAGUUGGGAGGAAGGGCAGUAAGUUAAUACCUUGCUGCUUUGACGUUACCGACAGAAUAAGCACCGGCUAACUCUGUGCCAGCAGCCGCGGUAAUACAGAGGGUGCAAGCGUUAAUCGGAAUUACUGGGCGUAAAGCGCGCGUAGGUGGUUUGUUAAGUUGGAUGUGAAGGCCCCGGGCUCAACCUGGGAACUGCAUCCAAAACUGGCAAGCUAGAGUACGGUAGAGGGUGGUGGAAUUUCCUGUGUAGCGGUGAAAUGCGUAGAUAUAGGAAGGAACACCAGUGGCGAAGGCGACCACCUGGACUGAUACUGACACUGAGGUGCGAAAGCGUGGGGAGCAAACA